GUCAGCCCCAGUGAGGAUGAAACAGCUGCAGCAGAGCAACUACUCAAACCACCCGAAACAAGUCAUUUCUGCAAUUGCAUUCCUGCAGUUUCAUUAGUACUGAGGAAAGGCCUGAGGAAAGAUGUGUGGAUUUCCUCCAGAAGCAGGGAUUGGCCGGGAGUGAAAGACGAACCCCAGAGUUCCUACGGGACAGAUUGCCGUGCCAAGCCCUCGCCACCUCACACAGAGACACCCCUCAAGGGGGAGGAAGGGGCAAACUCCCUGGCACUCCUUAAUCUGGCAAGGAGAGCGCUGGCAGAGAGAAAGAAGAAGAGGGUCAGAGACCUGGACAGACCUGGGUCCACCAUUUUGCCCAUCUGCUGUUUCAAAGCCCUAAAUCGCAGGCUAGCAUAUAAAUGCGAUUCUUCUGUGGCGUGCAUUCACCUGCUCACGGCUUACGAGUUCAGAGUUGCAGAUAACGGAUU